CAGACAGACAGACAGACACACACAGACAGAUGGACAUGCACACGCAGACACAGACACACACACACACACACGUGGGGAGCACGACCCUUUAAACAGACGCUCAGUGUGUGCAGUUCAACAGGCGCCGCUGCCCAGCUCAGGAUUAAUGGGACGAGAUCACCUGGGAUCCCCACAAGCCAGCAGUGAAUCUGGGUCGGCAGCCAUCAGGCAGGAGAGGAACCCCCAGCAGCACAGUUCAGACAAACUGCCAGUGUUGGGGCCCCAGUGAACUGUCCUACCACUCGAAGAACCCGCACUAACGCUCUGUAAUCCCUGCCUGAGACCUCAUCACCAGACUGAGGCAGCAGUAUCCCUCCCCACCACAAGAAGAAGGAACUACUUGUUAAGGAACUACUUUCUACACCAGCAGAACACAAAAGAAUGAUGAGAUAACGCAAUGCACAUUCCAGAUCUUGACAUGUAACUGCAGUAACCCCGCCACAUCGAGGGACGAUAUUACAAGCCACUUAUUUAUUUACCAAGAAUGGAUCAGGUUUUUUUUAUAAAGUAUUGCAGAACACAGCAUCAAUUUUGAAAACUAUUUUACAGACUCACUGCUUGUAAGCUGGCGCCCUUCAUCAAACAGCUCAAGGAUGUUUCUGUUUUGCUCUGAUUAGGGGCACAUGGUAAUCCAACACUACUUGGAAUGUCCCAGUAGCUAGAGAAGAAAACGAUUCAGUGGCCAAAGCGAGACUGACUGGGAUCGCUGUCUGGAGUCCAGGGAGACACUGAUUCACUGUUUUCUUUUACUGUUAGUUUGCACCAGACCUAAUGAAAAAAAACCUGAAUCCAGUCCAGCACCUUACUGAGCAGGCUGUGUGUUCAGAGACGGUCCUGCAUCAUCCCCCCCCCCACACACACACACACUGGGACACUUCGACAGGCACAGACUGUGCUGCUGUGUUGUUGUGUGCGUUGUGGAGGACAUGUUUGGAUUUUCCACAGAGAGACCAGUCUGCAAUAAAACCUGGAUUUGAAUCUCAA